GAUGAACGCUGGCGGCGUGCCUAAUACAUGCAAGUCGAGCGAACAGACGAUGAUCUUGCUCCUCUGACGUUAGCGGCGGACGUGUGAGUAACACGUGUAUCACCUACCUAUCAGACUGGGAUCACUUCGGGAAACCGGAUCUAAUACCGUAUAAUAUAUUGAACCGCAUUGUUCAAUAGUGAAAUACGGUUUUGCUGUCACUUAUAGAUGGAUCCGCGCCGCAUUAGCUAGUUGUUAAGGUAACGGCUUACCACGGCAACGAUGCGUAGCCGACCUGAGAGGGGGAUAGGCCACACGGGAAGUGAGACACGGUCAAGACGCCUACGGGAGGGAGCAGUAGGGAAUCUUCCGCAAUGGGCGAAAGCAUGACGGAGCAACGCCGCGUGAGUGAUGAAGGUCUUCGGAUCGUAAAACUCUGUUAUUAGGGAAGAACAAAUGUGUAAGUAAAUAUGCACGUAUUGACGGUACCUAAUCAGAAAGCAACGGCUAACUACGUG
rnacentral:rRNA from 1 species